rnacentral:rRNA from 1 species
CCUACGGGUGGCAGCAGUGGGGAAUAUUGGGCAAUGGGCGCAAGCCUGACCCAGCAACGCCGCGUGAAGGAAGAAGGCUUUCGGGUUGUAAACUUGUUUUAUCAGGGACGAAGCAAGUGACGGUACCUGAUGAAUAAGCCACGGCUAACUACGUGCCAGCAGCCGCGGUAAUACGGAGGAUGCGAGCGUUAUCCGGAUUUAUUGGGUUUAAAGGGUGCGUAGGCGGUCCGUUAAGUCAGCGGUAAAAUUGCGGGGCUCAACCCCGUCGAGCCGUUGAAACUGGCAGACUUGAGUUGGCGAGAAGUACGCGGAAUGCGCGGUGUAGCGGUGAAAUGCAUAGAUAUCGCGCAGAACUCCGAUUGCGAAGGCAGCGUACCGGCGCCAGACUGACGCUGAGGCACGAAAGCGUGGGGAUCGAACAGGAUUAGAUACCCCAGUAGUC